GGGGGGGGGGGGGGGGGGGGGGGGGGGGGGGGGGGGGGGCGGGGGGGGCGGGGGGGGGGGGGGGGCGCGAGGGGCGGGGGGGUGGGUGGGGCGGGAGUGACCUGGGCUUGGCUUGGGGGUGGCUUCAGGUGAGUGGGGCUACGACCGGAUAGGAGCUCCUGCGGCGGUGUGGGGGGGGGCAGGUUUCGGCGGUUGGGGGUGGACGCGCGGCUCAUCAGCUGGUUGGUUGGGUAGUGGCUUACCAAGGCCUAGACGGUGAGCCGGCCUGCGUGGGUGACCGGCCACAUGGGGACUGAGAUACGGCCCAGACUCCUACGGGAGGCAGCAGUGGGGAAUAUUGCACAGUGGGCGGAAGCCUGAGGCAGAAACGCCGCGUGCGGGAUGACGGCCUUCGGGUUGUAAACCGCAUGCGCCUGUGACGAAGCGUGAGUGACGGUAAUGGGUAAAGAAGCACCGGCUAACUACGUG
rnacentral:rRNA from 1 species